GCCAGCAUGGCAUAGUGGUUUGAGCGUUAGCCUAUAACUCAGAAAUCAGGGUUUGAUUCCCAGCUUGGCC